GUGUCAGCCGCCGCGGUAAGACAGAGGGUGCAAACGUUGCUCGGAAUUACUGGGCGUAAAGCGCGUGUAGGCGGAUCGGAAAGUCGGGCGUGAAAGCCCUAGGCUCAACCUAGGAACUGCACCCGAAACUCCCAGUCUUGAGUGGUGGAGAGGGAAGUGGAAUUCCUGGUGUAGAGGUGAAAUUCGUAGAUAUCAGGAGGAACACCAGUGGCGAAGGCGGCUUCCUGGACACCAACUGACGCUGAGACGCGAAAGCGUGGGGAGCAAACAGGAUUAGAAACCCUCGUAGUCC
rnacentral:rRNA from 1 species